rnacentral:lncRNA from 1 species
UUUAGUAAAAAUACGCCUCAGGGCGAAUAUUAAGAGUCUCAAGGAAAAGCUAACUUUCAUCCGCAAGAUAAAUUACCCGCCAGAUCUGUAACAUAAGAUAGAAACAUAAACUCGUCUAUAACACAAGACUAAAGCUCCUUUAAAGGGUAUUUCUAAUAGCUUUACAUAAGAUGUCCUUAAAGGAGCCAAAAUGGCGCCAGCAAGACUGUUCGCUGGAGAAUAUUUGAAAAUUGUCCACUAGACCACCCCCCUACGGGCAGAAAGAUGUAGCGAGUAUUAAAUGAGCUCGCUUAUUCGAUGUGUUUGGUAACAAUAAAUUUAAAGAUGCUUUUUUGUUCCUCUCCACGUUAGUUAAGUAAUACGUUUUUUUUUAUUUCGUCAGUGAUCUUGUUAGCACUAUUAGUAAAUUAUGGAAUACUUUGAAAUAUAGGAGCUCAGGAAUCUGAAUGUUCUGGAAAAGUGGAAUUCGCCGAAACCAGGUAUUUUUAGCUUUCAAAUACAUUUUAGCCUUUCGAAAAUGUGAAAUAUAUAUUGUUUGCAUGUUUGACAGACAAAAAAAAAAAAAAAAAAAAAAAAAAAAAAAAAAAAAA